rnacentral:rRNA from 1 species
AAGCGGAGGAAAAGAAACCAACAGGGAUUGCCUCAGUAACGGCGAGUGAAGCGGCAAGAGCUCAAAUUUGAAAUCUGGCGCCCCGCAGGCGUCCGAGUUGUAAUUUGGAGAGGCAUCUUCAGGAGGGGGCCCGGCCUAUGUUCCUUGGAGCAGGGCGUCGCAGAGGGUGAGAAUCCCGUUCUUGGCCGGACAGCCCCUCCGGUGUGCAGUGUCUUCUACGAGUCGAGUUGUUUGGGAAUGCAGCUCAAAAUGGGUGGUAAAUUUCAUCUAAAGCUAAAUAUGGGCGAGAGACCGAUAGCGCACAAGUAGAGUGAUCGAAAGAUGAAAAGCACUUUGAAAAUAGAGUCAAACAGCACGUGAAAUUGUUGAAAGGGAAGCGCUUGAGACCAGACUCGGCCAUGGUCUAACAG